GUCAUAAUUUUUUUUAAUUAAAUUUUGAUGAAAAAUUGCAAGUCUUUUUUUCAUAUACUAAUUUCCCUUUCCAGUAUGAUAUUUUUCUUUUUGAAACUUCUUUCCAGUAUUGACAAACGUAUACGCAUUUUCACGUUAACAAUUAGUGACAUCAAAUAAAUCUAAAGUUUAUUUAAAAAAUAAAGCAAAAACUGUAAAAAAUUAGGUUGAUGUUUCAUAUUAUAAAAUCAAUAUAAUUAAUCAUAAUAUACAUAAGUUCAGAUUCUGACACGUAUCAGAAAACUUCUUCAAAAUUGAUCUCAACAAAAAAUAAAUUAUCAUGCAGAUCUUAGUCUAGUAAUAUUUGUAUAUAUAGUAUGUUAUAUCGUAUCCUUUUAUAUCUCUACCCUAUACAUUAUUUUGUGUACAUGAACUCGUAAAUUUUAUUAUUAAAAUACGAUUUACCGUUCCAUUUUUUUUUCUAAUUUAGUGAACUUGAAGUUGAAAGUUCAAUCCAUGUAA
rnacentral:lncRNA from 1 species